CGCACAUUGCGCCCCUUGGUAUUCCGAGGGGCAUGCCUGUUCGAGCGUCAUUUCACCACUCAAGCCUCGCUUGGUAUUGGGCGCCGCGGUGUUCCGCGCGCCUCAAAGUCUCCGGCUGAGCUGUCCGUCUCUAAGCGUUGUGAUUUCAUUAAUCGCUUCGGAGCGCGGGCGGUCGCGGCCGUUAAAUCUUUCACAAGGUUGACCUCGGAUCAGGUAGGGAUACCCGCUGAACUUAA
rnacentral:misc_RNA from 1 species